rnacentral:rRNA from 1 species
GACCCGUCUUGAAACACGGACCAAGAAGUCUAGUAUGUACGCGAGUCAUUGGGUAUCAAAACCUAUUGGCGCAAUAAAUGUGAAGGGCGACUUGUGCGUCUGAUAUGUGAUCCGUCAGUCUCGGCUGGCGGCGCAACAUAGUCCCAUGCCUACUGCUUGCAGUGGUGUGGAGAUGGAGCGUACACACUAGGACCCGAAAGAUGGUGAACUAUGCCUGAGCAGGACGAAGUCAGAGGAAACUCUGAUGGAAGUCCGAAGCGGUUCUGACGUGCAAAUCGAUCGUCGGACUCGGGUAUAGGGGCGAAAGACUAAUCGAACCAUC